CCCGGACGUUGCUCUCUACCCCGGGAACGUCGAGACUGGAGCGCCCGAACUGAGCCACCUUCGCGGACCCCGAGAGCGGCGGCGCGACUCACCGCGGAGGCGCCCGGACGCGUCAAGCCCAGCCCAAUAGGAAGCACCUGAUCCACACUCUUUCUAGCCCCAGGGAUGCUCAGGAAAGCAGCCUUUCUUUAGGGCUGUCAUCUGUUCUGGGGAUCUGUUGCUGUUUCUUGGGCCCACAGAAUACACUCCACACCUCGGGACUCCAUAAUAUUGGACAAGGCUGGAAGGCCCAUUUGGCUCCUGCAGCCUCUUAUGCAGGUGAGGACAGACCCAAGGUCCAGGCAAUGCUGGCCUUUGGAACACAGAACCUGGCUCACUGACUCCCACUCCAGUUGUCUUUUCCCUCUGCCUCUGGAGCAACCCUCUCUCCUCCAGAGCAACCCCUGUCCCUCCUUCCUACCUCUCUCUAGGGCUGCACCCCCAGCUCACCUUAGACCUGGCCCUUCCUACCUGUUGCCCCUACUGUCUUGUCCCAUCCCAGUGGUCAGGAGGGAGAGUACUGGCCAAAGGCCCAGCUCCACCUGUGACUUAGGGGAGUGCCAGGCAUCACCCAGAGGUCCCGGCCCUCGGGGGCCUGGCAGGCUCUGCUGUGGGGGAAGCAGAGUUAGAACUGGGGCUGCUUCUCCUGUCCCCCAGCCUGGCUGGGCCUCCCCCACCUCCCUUUCUGCCUGCCCUCUUACAACUCCAGCAGGGGGCGGGCAGGGGAAAGAAAAGGAGGGACAAGUUGGAUGGGGUCCAUUUGGUGUCCAGGAACAACUUGGAGAGAGGCGGGGAGGGGACAGGCAGCAGGGCCCUGGCAGAGCCAGGGGAGGGCUGGCCUUUGGAUGGCCUUCUGAUCCCAAGCCCAUCCUCCUGGGGCAGUCUUCCCUUGAAAGGGAGGGUUUGGUGAACCCUGGUGCGGACCCCCCCGCCGGACCUCACUGCCCCAGUGCGGGGCGUGGUAGGCGGGUUUGCAAUGGGUACAGCCUCUCUCUCCAUUCCAGUAGAGCAGCUCCCAGGGCCCAGAGAGGCUGUCACUGAGACUUCCCUCUGGGGUGGGGUGGGUUCUGGUGGCCCUGUGUUCCCCUGCAGGAGGACCUCCUGAGGCUUCGGGCAGGAGCUGGUGCACACCUGGAGGAGAGUGCUGGUGAAUGGCAGGUGUGUGCCUCAGUGUCCUUGCUGCCAGGGUGUCAGCCCUGCUUCACCACUGGCCGUUUGUCUCUGUCCCCUCCACUGGCCUCUUGAAGCACAGAGACCCUCCGGGUACUUUCCUUCCUCUGGGCUUCCACUCAUGCUAUUCCCUGCUCCCUUUUUCUACCUGGAGACCCCCAUUCCUCCUCCUCCUCUGCUGCCCUCACCUCCACCUGGGCCCUCCCAGCUCCCGGGAGAUGGCUGAACCCCACUCCCCACCCGCUAGUCAUCCUCUUCAGCGGUCCUCCCAGAGCUGUCCUCAGCAUGGCAGCCUCCACAGCCCCUGGGUGUCACCCCCGGUUUCGUGUCUGCCUCGGACUCCAGACCUGCCCCUCCCAGGCUGGCCCAGAUGGAUCCUCUACAGUGACUAACCCAAACCAGCACCAGGCAGGGACCCAAUAAACCUUUG
rnacentral:lncRNA from 1 species